rnacentral:rRNA from 1 species
AGUGAACGCUGGCGGUAGGCCUAACACAUGCAAGUCGAACGGCAGCACAGUAAGGGCUUGCUCUUACGGGUGGCGAGUGGCGGACGGGUGAGGAAUACAUCGGAAUCUACUUUUUCGUGGGGGAUAACGUAGGGAAACUUACGCUAAUACCGCAUACGACCUACGGGUGAAAGCAGGGGAUCUUCGGACCUUGCGCGAUUGAAUGAGCCGAUGUCGGAUUAGCUAGUUGGCGGGGUAAAGGCCCACCAAGGCGACGAUCCGUAGCUGGUCUGAGAGGAUGAUCAGCCACACUGGAACUGAGACACGGUCCAGACCCCUACGGGAGGCAGCAGUGGGGAAUAUUGGACAAUGGGCGCAAGCCUGAUCCAGCCAUACCGCGUGGGUGAAGAAGGCCUUCGGGUUGUAAAGCCCUUUUGUUGGGAAAGAAAAGCAGCAGGUUAAUACCCCGCUGUUCUGACGGUACCCAAAGAAUAAGCACCGGCUAACUUCGUG